rnacentral:piRNA from 3 species
AGUUGGUAGAGCGGAGGACUGUAG